CGAACGCGGCUAAUGGGCCGAGCUCACGUCGCGGCUGGCUUAACGAUCAAGUUCGAUUUCUCUUGGCAUCGCUGUCGCGCGUGCACACGCAUAUACACUGUGCGCGUAUCGCACGUGUACACGGGGUGCCUUUGAAAAUUAUCGUCGAUUUAGCUCGAUACGUGAACGGACCACCUUCCACGAGCGAGUGACACCCAGGCCGUGCGACCGAUCUCGACCUUUCCGCCUUACUCGAGCUUCUUCGUGAAGGGAUUGAAGCGAAAAUUAAGGAGGAGGAGUAUCAUCUAAGAAUUCAGCAUUAUACGAUUUUUGUCGAUGAAUUAUAUAUGUAUAUUUUUAAUCGAUUUCUUUUUUUAACGCGUGUUUCAGUGUUUACAUGUUCUUUAAAGGAUAUUAUGUGGUAGAGCAGAGUUGUAAAACUGGCGAUGGCUAUCAUUACUAUGAUCUAUUUUAACUUCAGUGAAAGUAUGUAUAUAUUCUUUUGUGACAUACUUGUUUUCAAAGAUUGUAGACGGAUUACAUUAAAAUUCACUUGGUUUAAUCACUUGCACUUGCGAUCGUUAAGCGAGAUUUUUCCGGAUGAUAAGGAAAAAAAAAAAAAAGGAAAAUAAAUAAACGUGAAGAGAAUCUUUUCGACCGUUAAAGAAAACGAUAAAUCAAUCUAAUGGGUUGGGAUUUUAACGAAAACUCCAAGCUCGUUCUAUUGUGAAUAUUCUUAGCGAUUAUUCUAUAGGAAACCAUAAUUUCCAUAGAAAACCACAAUCCGAAUCGAAUUUGAAAGACACUUCUAAAUCGUGAAUGAACCGUAUUCUCUUAAUGUAUUAUAUAUUUUUAUGGAUAUUAUUAAUAGAAUUAUUAGGUAAGCAAGAUUCCAUGUAAUAAAUUAUUAGAAUCGUCGUGAGUAAAUUUUGAUAUUAAAAUCUGUGCAAAUAACUGUACGGUUGUGUCGAUCAUCAUCUCGGUGUUUUCGCUACGUUAUUAUCCACACUGUUAUUCCGUGUAAUCUACAGAAAUCAAGGAUCGGGACAACACCUCGUUAUUAUUCCAUUUGCGAAAUUUCACGAGAUCGAUCGAUCCGCCGAGUAAAUAACACCAAUUUAAAAGGACGGCAUAACGAUGCGUACGUUGGCUCGGUGUUUGCGCCACCAGGAAGAGAACGCGCUGCACUUGGUGCAGUUUAUAGAAAGCACCGAUUGCGUUGGUGGCUUCGCCUCUCUCUCUCUCUCUCUUUUUCUCCAUAUGUCAAUGCACAAAUACGCUCGCGCGAGAGCCGUUCAUCCGUUGCGAGCCGAUCGGAUACUUUGAUUACGGAUCGGAUGAAACAACAGCGUGGAAGAGAUCUAUGAUGCGUUUUUUAAUAUACUCGAAAAGAGAGGAAGGAUUAACGUAAUGAUCGGGUUAUUAAGAUGGAUUACAGCGAAUUAAAGGGAUAUUAAAAGAUAAGAGUUCAAUUUUUAAGUUGAUAGGGAAGAAAAGGAAUAUUUCUUACCAAUUUUUUACUCAUUGUAUCGUAAUUGUGUUAUCCGCAAUUGCGAUCCGUUGCACGAUGGCAAGCGAGUUUUGAAAUGGAAUAUACAUCACAUUUUAAGGUCAAAGGUGUAUACAGUCUGAAUGUGUUCCAUAAAUCCAGCACAAACUAACAAUAGAUACUUCGAUUUUUCUCCGUACAUAAAUUUACGUCCUCGUUAAAUCAUAGAAUCGCUACGUAGGCGUGGAUCCUUUAUUAAUGGAUACGGACACGGGUGGAAUGGAUGAUUCCGUUUGAAGAACGAAAUCAAAAAGAUUAGAAUAGAAAUUUUUAUAUUAUGAUUAAUAAUCACGCUUUUACAAUCAUCGUAAAUUUUACGCAAUAUUUACCCGUAAAAAGCAAUAUAUUUAACUUGUAGAACGAGAAUAGAAUAUAUUCCUUCGUGCUGUUUGUCUUUUUGUUUUUGUCGAAUCGCGUGCUAUUGUGUUGCCACAUGUAGCCGCAUGCACGAGAGAGCCGCGCAUGCGCGUGUGUCUAUAUAGAUGCCUAUAGAGGUAUCAAGCGGAGCUCGAGUUAAAAGCGUGCAGUGUUCUCUUGUGCUCCUCGUGCUGGUGGGACCUUGUUUCAUGACCCACAUAAAGCAAGGCCGUUAACACUACUCACGAGUUGCGCGCGUAUGGGUGCGGGCCCCAACGAGCUACUCGCCGUUCUAUGGGACCCCACGUGUCCCCUCCACGGUUGCCGAGGCGAGGGGGAGGGGGAGAGGGGGAGGGAGGAGGCUCGACGACGUGCCCCUCUGAUAUACGCUACCUGCAUAUACCGGCAUGUACCUGUAUGUGCCUUCAUAUUACCAUACAUCACGUGUACGUGUACGUGUAAGAUGAAGCAGAGAAGAUGGACUUGUUAGUAUGCGUAAGACAAGUGGACCUGUAUGUCGAAAUGCGUGUGCGUGCACGAGAGAGCUUGAGAGUCUGUAUACAGGUCUGAAUCUGUUCCUAACUACGUAAAUAAUUAACCGUUGAUAGAGAAGUGGAGAAAUAUUAUUAUGACCUGAAAUAUUAUUAUGUUUACUGAUGCAAUCAUGUUAUACGGAUUAAUAGAGAGUAAAGGGGGAUGGAAAGCGAAGGAAAGAAAAUUAGUUGUUUUCAAAUAUUUCUAUAUUAUCUAUUCGAGUAGGCAAUAUAUGUAAGCGUCCACAUUCAAUAAUAAAGGAUGAUUGUUUGUUAAAAAUGUGUGUGCUGUGUACGAGCAGUAUUUGACGUUGAAAAAAAUUUUUAUCCAAGAAAUGUUCCAAAGCGAAGAGAAAAUCAGUGUCACUGUUUAUAUUUAUAUAUCGAAAACCGAAGCAAUAAAGGAUACGUAUACCGAAAGUUAAGCGGGAGAAAAAAAAGUUAGGUCCUGGGUCCUGUUCGUGUAGUACUUAUGUAGCAUUUAUAGCGUGCGCACUGAAUGCACAUCCGUAUACGAGUGUGUGCGUGACUGGACAAGUUAGUAGGUCACACGGAUUCAGGAAUAUAUCGGUGGGCGUGAGUCGUACACACCAGUAUCCAACAUAUCGUAUGCCCACGGAGAACUGUGACUUCAAACGCGGCUUCACGAGGUACCUUGAUCUUGACUAGAUGCAAGGUCCAUUUCGCUGUCGUCGUACGUUCAAUAAGGCAUUGCUCCUAUUUGCUUUCGCAUUGUUUGCAUUGCUACCGCGUAUUAAACGGAUUUCAUGCGUAGCUAGACUUUAAAUAGGGAAAGUUUUAAAACUUAUUAUAUAUUUACAAAUUUUCCGUUAAAUCUAUUCGUAUAACGUAUUACAACAAAAUUGCAUACUUUGUAUUAGAAAAGAUCUGGAAAUUUUAAUAAAAAAUAAAAAUAAAAAUAA